rnacentral:rRNA from 1 species
GUCUAUGGCCAUACCACCCUGAAAACGCCCGAUCUCGUCUGAUCUCGGAAGCUAAGAAAUAAGUGUGGAUAUCUGUCAGGAAAUUGUGAGGAAUCUCACAAAGCAUCCUGCAUUCCUGAUACUAUGGUCU